AGGCUGUGAGGAAACUUGCGCUUAAAUGAUGGAUUUGGGUUCAUCACCAUCGUCUGAAAUAUUGACGAGUUAGUGCGCAUCUGAGCUU
rnacentral:snoRNA from 14 species